rnacentral:rRNA from 1 species
UGGGGAAUCUUGGACAAUGGGGGCAACCCUGAUCCAGCCAUGCCGCGUGAGUGAUGAAGGCCUUAGGGUCGUAAAGCUCUUUCGCCUGUGAAGAUAAUGACGGUAGCAGGUAAAGAAACCCCGGCUAACUCCGUGCCAGCAGCCGCGGUAAUACGGAGGGGGUUAGCGUUGUUCGGAAUUACUGGGCGUAAAGCGCACGUAGGCGGACCAGAAAGUUGGGGGGUGAAAUCCCGGGGGCUCAACCCCGGAACUGCCUCCAAAACUAUUGGUCUAGAGUUCGAGAGAGGUGAGUGGAAUUCCAAGUGUAGAGGUGAAAUUCGUAGAUAUUUGGAGGAACACCAGUGGCGAAGGCGGCUCACUGGCUCGAUACUGACGCUGAGGUGCGAAAGUGUGGGGAGCAAAACAGGAUUAGAUACCCUGGUAGUCCACACCGUAAAACGAUGAAUGCCAGUCGUCGGGGUAGCAUGCUAUUCGGUGACACACCUAACGGAUUAAGCAUUCCGCCUGGGGAGUACGGUCGCAAGAUU